UCAAAUAAAUGCUUUGGAUUGGGAUGUAGAAUUACAUGAUUUACAAAGAAGCUAAGAUAUGCUAACAGGAGCUUUACAACUAAAUUGUUUCACAAAGAUGCGACAUAUUGACAUGCUAAACCCAAGACGUAUUGUCUAAGAAAAGAGCGUUAUAAAAGCAACUUUUAUUAGCUUUACUGCAGCCUUGCAAAAUUAUUGAUUAUUUUAAUCAAAUUGAGUCUAAUCCCACAUGCAGGCAUUUUCAAUGUCUGGACCAGUUAUAACAUUUUAAACACUUUGUCCCAUUUUUUUCUGAUUCUAUUCUUCAUAUAUUGAUUUUAAUAUGAUGAGUGCAUCCAGCACUGAUAAUUGUGGCACAGUGUGUGUGUCAUUCUUUCAACAAAUGACAAAUCCUCUUCCCAGUGCUGUGCUACAAGGAUUGGAGAAACAACCUGUCUACAAUGACCAAAUAAUUCAGCAGCAUAGAACAGAAUGAAAGCCAGCAUUCGGAGGCUCCCAUCCUCCUUUUCCAGAUGAAAGAUAACCAGAACUAGGCUGAAGAUUAAGGGAAGUUUUACAGAGACUGUUGGGAAAUCCUUGUUUCAGUAAAUGCCAGUGAUGGAUUAAAGAAA